rnacentral:siRNA from 1 species
CAUUCCCAUCACCUGACCAUCACU